rnacentral:rRNA from 1 species
AGCUCCAAUAGCGUAUAUUAAAAUUGUUGCGUCUAAAAAGCUCGUAGUUUGAAAACUUGCCUUGACUUGCAAUAGGUCCACAUGGGCCACCGUUUGUCGAGCGCAAAUAUGGAUGACUGUUUUUGCCGGCUUAAUUGUUUGGCUUAUAAGAGUUAUCAAAUAUCACUUUGAUUAAAUUAGAGUGCUUAAAGCAAGUGUAUUACUUGAAUAUAAAUGCAUGGAAUGAUGGAAUAUGUUAUUGUUCUAUUUGUUGGUUUUGGAACGAUGAAAUGAUUGAAAGGAACUGAUGGGGGCAUUCGUAUUGUUGUGAGAGAGGUGAAAUUCUUAGACCACAGCAAGACGAACUACUGCGAAAGCAUUUGCCAAGAAUGUUUUCA